rnacentral:lncRNA from 1 species
GAGAUUAGAGAGGCUCGGGUUGCUCUUAUAGUGGUACAUGAGGGGAACCAUUCUAGCAGCAUUGAGACAAAAAUUGGAAAAUGAUGAUGAAAACUGAUUUGUGACCAGAAUUUCUUGAUUGAGACAUUUCCAUUCAUUUGAAAUCAUGUGAGCAACAUGUCGUUGCACGUCUUCACUGGAAAUAUCUUGGUGUUCACUCAUGUAGCAAUCAAGGUAUGACCCAUCAAGACCAUUUUGAUCUCCACUCUGCAUUCAUCCAUGAUAACUCUUAUCAUUAGAACUUUACAUUUAACAAUCGAGUUAAGUGGUUGAACAAUUUAAUCGAAUACUUGUUUAAUAUUCUAAUUUAGGAGACAUAUUUCUUACCUUAGCUCCUUCUAAAUCAUCAGAGAGACGAAGAAUUUUUGCCACUGAAUAUAUAACAUUUGGGAAAUUUUCAUCCAAGAUAUCAAUUGUCUCCUUUGUUAUACCACUAACAUGAUCCAAAAGGAAGAAUGCAUGUUCAAGCACAACAUGCACUCCAGUGCUCACUAUUCCAUUGUUUAAGUAAUCCUCUGCUUUUGGUAAGUGACCAGAAUUCAACCAAUGAGCCUCUUCCAUGAAAGCGUUCAAUAAGCGUAUCCACUGUUUCACGCAAAUAUUAUUAUAUAAUCAGCCGUUUGAAAAAAAUAAUUUAUAUAUAUGAUGAAAUAAAAAAGACGGAUAGUAAGUGUACCGAUUUUUUGAGUGUGUCUAUAGGGUUAAAUCCAUGCUUCUUGUAGACAUUUUCAGCAAAUUUAUUGGUAAUGUCGUAAAGUGCAUUCAAAGAUAUUUUCAUGAAGUUUGGAAGUUGCUCUGUGCCAGUGGUUUCCCACCUGAAUCAAAAAUCAUUUCAUAGUAAGUAUUAGAGUGAAGCAUCAAUGUAAUAUUUGUAUAUCUUUGCAUAGGUAUAUGUAUGUAUUAACUAACUAAUGAGAUGUAUAAAUUUAUUCAAAAUUGAAUACCUGUUAAUAGCAUCUGUGAAUAUUGUAAGUUGAUCCAAUGUCCCGUGAACAUCGAAAAUGUCGUCAAUAACAUAAAUUAAAGAGAUGGGUUUUGUGAGCUCAAUCCUUUGUUCUGAAAAGUUUGGAUCUGUAAAGCAUGCCAUAGGCCAUGUGUACCAUUUCAGAGGUUGAUACCCUGAAAACUUCACCUCCUUGUCUAGUCCAAGUUCUUUCCACCAUCUAUUAAAUGAGGGUAUAGUUACGUUAGUUACCCCUAUGUAAAAUUUGAAUAAUUAUAAAGUCAACAUCUAUUUUUAACCAGAAAACAUACUUGGAAACUUCAAUGGUUUCAUUCUGGUUCAUGAACCUAACUAUGCCAGAAUUGAUUUUAGCAAGUUCCUCUAAACAUAUCAAAUCCUUCUCAGCCUUCAAAUCAUGCAUGAAUGUGUUUUUAUCCAUAAAUCUUGACAAUCCAUAGUGAAGUGGAUUCUGAAGAGUGUUUGCAACAUAUAAAGCAUCCUUAUGUUCUUGGUUUCUUGACAACCAUGCAUGUAGAAGCUCACAGCAGAGAUAUCCUACAUCGUUAAGACUAUCUUCUCCUUCAAUACUUAGUUGCGAUGCUUCGUAAAGGGCAAUGAGACCUUUCACAUCCUCACCAUGUUUUUCUUCAAACAUUCUUUUGUUACACUUCAAGCUGUCAAAUAAAUCUACACAACAAUUAUAGUUAGUCAUUUUAUUACUAAAUAUAUAUAUUCAAUUUUGGAGAGGAUCUGUAUUAAACAAACCUGCAUUUACGUAAUGGCCUCCUUGUCUCAGCAAGCGGAAUGCAAGUGCAACUUCAUAGAGUUCAUGGCUACUCACAAAAUCAAUUAUAGGAUUGGUGUUCAAUAUCAAAUGCAGAUUUUCAAGAGCCACUUUUAUUUCCUCAGCAAAAUAGUGCUCAAUACCAAACCUUUGGAUAAUAUCCAUCAAAUAAAAACUCUCCAUCGGAUCUUCGAUUUUAACAAGUUUCUUAUAAACUUGCUUAAAUAUUAAAGCUUGUUUGACAUAUACAACAUCCUAAAAUUGUAAGAGUGCAGAUUGAUCAGAAUAUUGAAAUAAAGCUAUAUAUGUUGUAACUAAAUUUAGAAUAGCUGUAUAUAUUCGUACUUCAAUUAAAAUACUUACCAUUCUAGAAAUUAAUGCUUUGAUAGUAAAUUAAAACAGACUCGCACUAGUACAGAAAACACUUUUUAAAUCAGGUAAAAAUGACUUUUUAAAUCGGUUCAAGAUCCGACUUAUAGGUGGCCGAUUUAAAAAACUGUCUUUGAUAGCUGGGGAUAUUGUUAAGAUAUGAAGUGGUUUGCUAUAGCUCAAGAAAGAUGGUUAUUUAUAGCUGAACAUUGCACAUAGUUGAUAUUUGUUAGUUUGAGCUACUGAAUGAUUGAAGGUCAGCAUAUGUAUGCUGCAUAUGUGUAUUGUAAGACAUUAAUUUAUUAGUUAUAGUUUGCCAAUGCUUGUUAUAGUAUGUUGCAUAUGUGUAUUGUAACACAUUAUUUUAUUAGUAGUUUUUCUUUUGUAAGACAUUAAUUUAUUAGUUAUAGUUUUCCAAUGCUUGUUAUAGUAUGCUGCAUAUGUGUAUUGUAACAUAUUAUUUUAUUAGUUAUAGUUGGGCAAUGCUUGUUAUAGUAUGUUGCUGAUGUGCUGUUGUCUAUUCAUGACUAUUUAACAUUAAUUAAAUAACAACGAUUAAUUUAAAGGAGAACAUGUUUCUUAUAUUCCAUGUUUAUUUUGUGAGGAACUUUAGAUCAAUCUUAAUUUAUUGCUUAUAUAUAUUGAACGUCCAAAUGUAAUAUAAUAUGUUUAGUCGAUCGUGCAAGUAGUAAAGGUCAAGAAGCCACGUUGGUUCAUUUUUCUUCAUUUUUUGGUAAACACGUGAUUGUAUGCAGCUUGGGACACGAUACUAAAUAUGGACACUUCUUACAAUUCAAAUUUGAAUUUUAUCCCGUCAUGCUGUGAGAGGCUAAGCGCUUGUGCUUUACCAAACUUCCUUUGUUUUUUUCUUUUUCUUAUAAAAUAGUAGUAAUAUGUUGAAUCAAGAAUGACAUAUUAAAAACUUAUUUGGUGUUGGUUUCAAGAAUGACAUAUUUUUAAUUUCGAGAAUAGUAUAACUACAUAGAUUAAAUUUGAAGAAUUCAUAUAAACCUCUUCAAUUCCAGUUUUGAGUUCCUCCAAAUCAGGAGGAUUUUGUAUUACGAAGAAAAUGAACCCUUCGAAGUCUUUUACUCUCAAUGUCAUCUAUUUAUUCCUCCCGGAUCUUCCUUUUUCUCCAAACCUCUCCCCUCCCUUCCCCCAAACUCGCAAACAAUGCCUCGAUGAAUUAGAGAGAAAGAAGUAUAUGAAAGACACUUGUUAUUAAAUUAGAGAGAAAGAAGUAUAUGAAAUACACUUGUUAUUGAAUGACAUUGUUGAGGGAAGAAGUGGUUGUUAAAACUGUGUAUUACCCCUUUUAUAGAGGAGGAUAACAUUCACUAACCGUAGUUACUUGUAUGGCAAGUAACCAUUCAAAUUAACAACCUUGUAAGCAACAUCUACUUCCUAUUUUCUAGUUUGAAUUACAAUCAACAGAAAUAAAAAACACUAACUCAAGAAUCAAUAAUUGUGCUUUGUUUGAUUUUCAAGGUGGAUUUCGAGAAAGCCUAUGAUUCGGUGGAUUGGAGUUUUUUAGAGUGUCCGAAUUGGGUGGCUUGAAUGAAGGUGUGUGUGUGGGGGGGAAGUAUGUCGAUCCUUGUCAAUGGUAGCCCUACAAAGGAGAUUAAUAUUAAAAGAGGCCUUAAACAAGGAGAUCCCUUAGCUCCUUUUCUCUUUUUGCUAGUGGCGGAAGACUUUAGUAGGGUAAUGAGGAAUGUGGUUUCACUUAAUCUCUUUUAAGGGUUUGAGUUUAGAAGAAAUGGUUUAGUGGUUUCUCACCUACAAUAUGCCGAUGUCACUCUUUGUAUUGGUAAGGCAAUGGUUGAUAAUCUUUGAUCCUUGAAGACGGUGUUAAGAGGUUUUGAGACGGCGUCGCGUCUUAAGAUUAAUUUUUUUAAGAGAUGUUUGAUUGGUGUUAAUGUUCCAAAUGAUAUUUUGGAAAUGGCUUGUAAUUUCUUGAUUAUUUGGGGUUACCGGUUGGAGCUAAUCCGAGAAGUUUCAUGACUUGGGAGCCGUUGGUGGAGCAUUUGGGAAUCUUGGGGGGCAUAAAUACAUUAGUUUGGGAGGUAGGAUUAUCCUCCUAAAUUCGGUGUUAAAUGUGAUUCCUAUUUUCUACUUGUCUUUCUUGAAGAUGCCAGUGAAAGCUUGGCGGAGAAUAGUGAGAAUUCAAAGAGAAUUCCUUUGGGGAGGUGUGGGAGCCGGUAGAAAGAUUAGUUGGGUGAGAUGGAAAUGGGUUUGUCAACACAAGGAUAUAAUGGUGGUCUAGGUGUGCGCGAUGUUAGAAUCCUAAAUGUUAGGUUGUUGGCAAAGUGGAAGUGGAGGUUGUUGGAUGGGGAAGAAGCCUUAUGGAAGAAUGUUUUGGUGGAGAUAUAUGGUCCAAGUAUUACUAGGAUGUUGGAUGGUGGGAUGACUUAAAAUUGGAGGUGUGCUUCUCUUUGGUGGAAGGAUGUGGUAAAUUUAGAAAACUUUGGUGCCCAAGGGUGGUUUAAUUUGGAGUUAACUAGAAUCAUUGGCAAUGGAAGGAACUCUAGUUUUUGGAAUAUUAAGUGGCGAGGGGAUACAACUUUUAGGAGUAAAUACCCAAGACUCUUCUCGAUUUCAAACCAAAAAGAAUCGAUGGUAGGUGAUAUAGGGGAGGUGGUAGGCUCUUCAACGGAGUCGCGUUUUGAGUGGAGGCGGGACAUUUUUGAUUGGGAGGAGCAACUCUUCCAAAUCUAUUGCUAGAUUUGGAAGGUAUGUUUUGGUCUCAUGAGGAAGAUAGGUGGAAGUGGGGUUUGGAGGAGUCGGGGAUGUUUUCCGUUAAGUCAUCAUAUGGAAAAUUAGAGGGCAUUGUGUUGACGGAAGAUUUCUGGAGUGAGACGGACAAAAGAGUGUUUAGAAAAAUAUGGAAAAGUCCGGCACCUUCGAGGGUGGUGGCUUUCUCAUGGAAGCUCCUUUAUGAUAGAAUUCCAACAAAGGUUAAUCUCGCGGUUAGGAAUGUCUUACCCAUGGAGGCUUCUCGGUUGUGAGCUUUAUGUGAAAGGGUGGAUGAAUCCUCAACUCACCUUUUCCUUCAUUGUGAUGUAGCAGGUAGGGUGUGGCAAGGUAUUAUGCGGUGGUGGGAGAGGAUUCUCUUAAUUCCGCCUAAUUUAUUUGUGCAUUGGGAGUGUUGGGUUAGGGUGUGCGGAAUAAGAAAAUUUGUAAGGGCCUAAGACUCAUUUGGCAUGCAACGAUGUGGGUGUUGUGGAUUGCGAGGAACAAUAAAGUGUUUAAUACCCGGAACCCGGAUGUGGACGAAAUUGUGCAUGACAUCAAGAUUUUGCCGUGGCGUUGGUCUUUGUAGAGAAUCCCUAUGCCUACGUGCAUGUACUAUGAAUGGUGUUGGUGCUCAACGGAAUGUCUUUUGCGGCUGGUUUAGCUGGUAGGGGCUGGUUCGGUCUAGUGAGAGGGGGGCUGUUGUUAGUUUUCUAUAGCAGCUGCUGUUUGGUGCUGCGGUGUCUGCUAUUGUGCCCGAACAGCUGCUGUGGGGCAUCUGUUUUUGCUGUUCUGCUCUCGGCUCUGGGAGUGUUGGUGCGGUUGUGUGAGUCUGUGUAUAGUUUGAGCAAUGGCUGUGUAUUUUGGUGGUGUUUUGACUGGAUUACAGGCACAUAGCUUUUGCUUCUGUCACCUUGACAACAUGGUAUAAGAUUCAUUUUUUUUUUUGGCUUUCGCACCGGUUUCCGACCCACCAAAGGUGGGCGACUAAUCCGGCUCGUGCGUAGAGGCAUGCAUACUGGCCAAGCGUUGUUUCCCCUGGGAAUCGAACCCAGUAUUCCCCGGGUGCGUUCUUGAAAGGAGCUCCUUGCCACUGGAGCACAAGCAACUUAGUUGGUAUAAGAUUCAUUUUAGUCAUGUGGCACAAGAACUGUUUCUUUUUUUCUCAGAAAGGAAUUUUACACAAAAAUUAUCUGUCUGAUAGUAAAAAUAACAACCAAAUAACACCGUUAGUCUGAACAUCAUAGGAGAAGAAACAUCCGCUCUCAUUAUCGGUCCCUCACUUUCCCUUAUUUUUGUCAUGAUUACUUUUCUUUAUCAUCUUACUCCUACCACUGUGAUAUUAAAAAAGCAUUGUUGAUGGUUCUUCGUGACGUUAAAUAAAUUGGCACCAUUUAGGCAUUUUCCUUCAUAAGUUAGUAAUGCAUCUUCAACUUAUUACUAGUGCCCUGAAUAAUACCUUUUAGAAUUGGUUUCCUUCUUCUAGAUGAAUUCUUAUAUGUAUAUAUUAUGCUUUUGAUAGAAACAUGGCACACUUCACUUUCACCAAUAUUUUCAUUGUUUCUUUCGUAUGGGCCAAAUCAAGGAACCUGUAGGUUGGCUGUAAGAUUAUUUUCGCUAUUAUUUUCUAGAUGACCUUAAUAGUGUAGUUAUCUGUAAGAUUAAGAAAGUCCAAUUGCAAUGCUUAUAAUUUCAUUGAAGUACAAGGUUUGAGUACCAAUAAACAAAUGGGUUAUUAGUACCAAGAGAACCAUGAGAACAAUAUUGCCUAAUUUAAAUUACAAAAUCAAUAUGUUGUACAUAAACAACAGAACACAAUAUCUGAAAAUGUACUAAUUACACCCAACACUAACAUUAAUCAAUGACUUGACAUGUUCCUGGAGAUUAGAGAGGCUUGGGUUGCUCUUAUAGUGGUACAUGAGGGGAACCAUUCUUGCAGCAUUGAGACAAAAGUUGGAAAAUGACGAUGAAAACUGAUUUGCAACCAGAAUUUCUUGAUUGAGACAUUUCCAUUCAUUUGAAAUCAUGUGAGCAACAUGUCUUUGCACGUCUUCACCGGAAAUAUCUUGGUGUUCACUCAUGUAGCAAUCAAGGUAUGACCCAUCAAGACCAUUUUGCUCUCCACUCUGCAUUCAUUCAUGGAUAAUAAUUCUUAUCAUUAGAACUUUACAUUUUACAAUUGCGUUAAUUGGUUGAACAAUUUAAUCAAAUAUUUGUUUAAUAUAAUUUAGGAGACAUAUUUCAUACCUUAGCUCCUUCUAAAUCAUCAGAGAGACGAAGAAUUUUUGCCACUGAAUAUAUGACAUUUGGAAACUUUUCAUCCAAGAUAUCAAUUGU